rnacentral:rRNA from 1 species
GGGUUUGAUCAUGGCUCAGAUUGAACGCUGGCGGCAGGCUUAACACACGCAAGUCGAGCGGAGAUGAGGUGCUUGCACCUUAUCUUAGCGGCGGACGGGUGAGUAAUGCUUAGGAAUCUGCCUAUUAGUGGGGGACAACAUUCCGAAAGGAAUGCUAAUACCGCAUACGCCCUACGGGGGAAAGCAGGGGAUCUUCGGACCUUGCGCUAAUAGAUGAGCCUAAGUCGGAUUAGCUAGUUGGUGGGGUAAAGGCCUACCAAGGCGACGAUCUGUAGCGGGUCUGAGAGGAUGAUCCGCCACACUGGGACUGAGACACGGCCCAGACUCCUACGGGAGGCAGCAGUGGGGAAUAUUGGACAAUGGGCGGAAGCCUGAUCCAGCCAUGCCGCGUGUGUGAAGAAGGCCUUCUGGUUGUAAAGCACUUUAAGCGAGGAGGAGGCUACUUAGAUUAAUACUCUAGGAUAGUGGACGUUACUCGCAGAAUAAGCACCGGCUAACUCUGUGCCAGCAGCCGCGGUAAUACAGAUUUUCCUUAUUUGCCAGCGAGUAAUGUCGGGAACUUUAAGGAUACUGCCAGUGACAAACUGGAGGAAGGCGGGGACGACGUCAAGUCAUCAUGGCCCUUACGGCCAGGGCUACACACGUGCUACAAUGGUCGGUACAAAGGGUUGAUACCUAGCGAUAGGAUGCUAAUCUCAAAAAGCCGAUCGUAGUCCGGAUUGGAGUCUGCAACUCGACUCCAUGAAGUCGGAAUCGCUAGUAAUCGCGGAUCAGAAUGCCGCGGUGAAUACGCUCCCGGGCCUUGUACACACCGCCCGUCACACCAUGGGAGUUUGUUGCACCAGAAGUAGGUAGUCUAACCGCAAGGAGGACGCUUACCACGGUGUGGCCGAUGACUGGGGUGAAGUCGUAACAAGGUUGCCGUAGGGGAACCUGCGGCUGGAUCACCUCCUUUCU